rnacentral:misc_RNA from 1 species
AACGCACAUUGCGCCCUCUGGUAUUCCGGAGGGCAUGCCUGUCCGAGCGUCAUUGCUGCCCUCAAGCACGGCUUGUGUGUUGGGCCCCGUCCCCCCCGCUCCGGGGGGACGGGCCCGAAAGGCAGCGGCGGCACCGCGUCCGGUCCUCGAGCGUAUGGGGCUUCGUCACCCGCUCUUGUAGGCCCGGCCGGCGCCAGCCGACCCCCAACCUUUUAUUUUUUCUCAGGUUGACCUCGGAUCAGGUAGGGAUACCCGCUGAACUUAA